GCCUGGGUGGCACAGCGGUUGAGCGUCUGCCUUCGGCUCAGGGCGUGAUCCCUGCGUUGUGGGAUCGAGCCCCACAUCAGGCU
rfam:Ailuropoda melanoleuca scaffold468_129, whole genome shotgun sequence.